rnacentral:lncRNA from 1 species
CUAAACGUCAUCCCGAUUUGAUCUUUUGCUGCAAGCAGACUGGUAUUGCUAUCGGAAGACUGUGUGAAAAAUGUGAUGGCAAGUGUGUGAUUUGUGAUUCCUAUGUGCAUCCCUGCACUCUGAUGCACAUAUGUGAUGAGCGUUAACUAUGGAUCUUACCAGAGGUGCUGUGUGAUCUGUGGAGGCCCUGGGGUUUCUGAUGCCUAUUAUUGUAAGGAAGUGCACCAUCCAGGAGAAGGAUAGGGAUGGCUGCCCAAAGAUUGUCAGUUUGGGUAACUCUAAG